GCUGAUGUGAUGGAACUGGCAUACAUGAGGGACUUAAAAUCCCCUGCCGAUUGUGGAUUAUGGGUUCGACUCCCAUCAUCAGCACCA
rnacentral:tRNA from 1 species